rnacentral:rRNA from 1 species
UUGGAGGGCAAGUCUGGUGCCAGCAGUCGCGGUAAUUCCAGCUCCAAUAGCGUAUAUUAAAGUUGUUGCAGUUAAAAAGCUCGUAGUUGAAUUUCGGGAUCAGAUUGUCGGUCGUGCCUCGGUACGCACUGGCAUUAUUGGUUCCUACCUUUCUGAAGAACCGCGAUGUCAUUUAAUUUUGGUGUCGUGGGGAAUCAGGACUGUUACUUUGAAAAAAUUAGAGUGUUUAAAGCAAGCUUACGCUUGAAUACAUUAGCAUGGAAUAAUGAAAUAGGACGUUUGAUUCUAUUUUGUUGGUUUCUAGGAUUGACGUAAUGAUUAAUAGGGAUAGUUGGGGGCAUUAGUAUUCAAUUGUCAGAGGUGAAAUUCUUGGAUUUAUUGAAGACUAACUACUGCGAAAGCAUUUGCCAAGGAUGUUUUUAUUAAUCAAGAACGAAAGUUAGGGGAUCGAAGACGAUCAGAUACCGUCGUAGUCUUAACCAUAAACUAUGCCGACUAGGGAUCGGAUGAUGUUAAUUUUUUAAUGACUCAUUCGGCGCCUUACGGGAAAC